GUGCAAAGGUAGCAUAAUCAGUAGUCUUUUAAUUGAAGGCUUGAAUGAACGGCUGGACGGAAAGAGAGCUGUCUCUGUUACUGUUAUUGAAUUUAACAUUUGUGUGAAAAGGCAUGAAUAGGCUAAGGGGACGAUAAGACCCUAUAAAAUUUAAUAUAUUUUAUUAUUUUUUGGAAAGGUUAAUUAACUAAAAAAUGAAGUUAAGUAUUUUGCUGGGGCGGCAUGAAUAUAAAUUAUUAACUGUUCAUUUAAUUUAAUAUUAUUUAUAGAUUGUGGUCCUUUAUUAAGGAGUUAAGAGUAAAUUACUUUAGGGAUAAC
rnacentral:rRNA from 1 species